rnacentral:rRNA from 1 species
CACCGCUACACCUGGAAUUCUACUCCCCUCUCACCUACUCUAGUUAUCCAGUAUCAGAUGCAGUUCCCAGGUUAAGCCCGGGGCUUUCACAUCUGACUUAAAUAACCACCUACGCGCGCUUUACGCCCAGUAAUUCCGAUUAACGCUUGCACCCUCUGUAUUACCGCGGCUGCUGGCACAGAGUUAGCCGGUGCUUAUUCUGUGGGUAACGUCAGGGCUUAUGGGUAUUAACCAUAAGCUUUUCCUCCCCACUUAAAGUGCUUUACAACCAAAAGGCCUUCUUCACACACGCGGCAUGGCUGGAUCAGGCUUUCGCCCAUUGUCCAAUAUUCCCCACUGCUGCCUCCCGUAGGAGUCUGGGCCGUGUCUCAGUCCCAGUGUGGCUGAUCAUCCUCUCAGACCAGCUACAGAUCGUCGCCUUGGUAGGCCUUUACCCCACCAACCAGCUAAUCCGACUUAGGCUCAUCUAAUAGCGAGAGCUAAAAGCCCCCUUUCACCCGUAGGUCGUAUGCGGUAUUAGCUUGGGUUUCCCCAAGUUAUCCCCCACUACUAGGCAGAUUCCUAAGCAUUACUCACCCGUCCGCCACUAAGUAUCA